UGCCACCUACGGGACGCAGCAGUGAGGAAUAUUGGUCAAUGGGCGGGAGCCUGAACCAGCCACGUCGCGUGAGGGAAGACGGUCCUAUGGAUUGUAAACCUCUUUAGGCGGGGAGCAAUGCCGGGCACGUGUGCCCGGAGGGAGAGUACCCGCAGAAUAAGCAUCGGCUAACUCCGUGCCAGCAGCCGCGGUAAUACGGAGGAUGCGAGCGUUAUCCGGCUUUAUUGGGUUUA
rnacentral:rRNA from 1 species